AGUGAAUCUUCUGCUUUAAAGACCAUUUUGCUAAGGAGGGUGAUCACGACCCUCCACUUCUAACUGCUGCUCCAUCUCUGAAUAUCAGAUUGGAACUAUUUUGUUGAAGGGGUCAACAACAAAAGCCCAGAGUGCAAGUGAGGUGGUAUGAAGAUUUCUUACAAUUGGAAAAAAAAAAUCAAACGUACCCUGCCUGGGAGGAAAGCCAAAAUGUUGAAAAGAUAUGAUGAACGAGAUUAGACAUUCACUGAAGCAGGAGCACUGAACAAAAAAGCAAGGCAGGAGCAUGGUAAUGCUUUUAUUGUCACCAGCAAAUCUGAAGUCUGCUGCUUAUUAAAACAUAAUCACCUUUUCUUUUUUUUUCAGUUUGAUAGUUAACUCCACAUAAACUGAAUGGCAGAAAUUUUUAAUUAAAUGUCCUCUGCUACCACAAACCAUGACAAAAUGAAUAAGCUAGAAAAUACAGGACACAUCCACAGAUAUAUUUAGUUGACUCCACUGUGAAUUGCUCUAAGAUGUCCUGGACAUUCAGAGAUAUGACAGGGAUCUAUUGGAAGAUUCAUGAUUCAAGGGAUACUGAGUGGGAGGUGCCAAAACUUCUUAGACUAUCCUUAUAUUUAUGCAGUGGGUACUAAGUGAAUGAUAAGCAAAUUCUUGUCACCAUCGUGAGUGGUACAGCUGACACAUUAGAGGGAAGGAAUGCCAUCCAGGGGGACCUGGGACAGGCUUGAGA